rnacentral:rRNA from 1 species
UACGGAGGGCGCAAGCGUUGUUCGGCCUCACUGGGCGUAAAGCGCGUGUAGGCGGCCGGGCAAGUCGGAUGUGAAAUCCCGAGGCUCAACCUCGGAACUGCAUUCGAAACCGCUCGGCUCGAGUCCCGGAGAGGAUGGCGGAAUUCCCGGUGUAGGGGUGAAAUCCGUAGAUAUCGGGAGGAACACCAGUGGCGAAGGCGGCCAUCUGGACGGUGACUGACGCUGAGACGCGAAAGCGUGGGGAGCAAACAGG